rnacentral:rRNA from 1 species
GACGAACGCUGGCGGCGUGCUUAACACAUGCAAGUCGAACGGAAAGGCCCUGCUUUUGUGGGGUGCUCGAGUGGCGAACGGGUGAGUAACACGUGAGUAACCUGCCCUUGACUUUGGGAUAACUUCAGGAAACUGGGGCUAAUACCGGAUAGGAGCUCCUGCUGCAUGGUGGGGGUUGGAAAGUUUCGGCGGUUGGGGCUGGACUCGCGGGUUAUCAGCUUGUUGGUGAGGUAGUGGCUUACCAAGGCUUUGACGGGUAGCCGGCCUGGGAGGGUGACCGGCGACAUUGGGACUACGGUACGGCCCAGACUCCUACGGGAGGCAGUAGUGGGGAGUAUUGCGCAAUGGGCGGAAGCCUGAUGCAGCAACGCCGCGUGCGGGAUGACGGCCUUCGGGUUGUAAACCGCUUUCGCCUGUGACGAAGCGUGAGUGACGGUAAUGGGUAAAGAAGCACCGGCUAACUACGUG